CCUACGGGUGGCAGCAGUGAGGAAUAUUGGUCAAUGGGCGCGAGCCUGAACCAGCCAAGUCGCGUGAGGGAAGACGGUCCUAUGGAUUGUAAAUCUCUUUUGUCGGGGAGCAAAAGACGCCACGCGUGGCGUUCCGAGAGUACCCGAAGAAAAAGCAUCGGCUAACUCCGUGCCAGCAGCCGCGGUAAUAUGGAGGAUGCGAGCGUUAUCGGGAUUUAUUGGGUUUAAAGGGUGGGCAGGCGGAAGAUCAAGUCAGCGGUAAAAUUGAGGGGCUAAACCCCGACGAGCCGUUGAAACUGGUUGUCUUGAGUGAGCGAGAGGUGUGCAGAAUGCGUGGUGUAGCGGUGAAAUGCGUAGAUAUCACGCAGAACUCCGGUUGCGAAGGCAGCAUACCGGCGCUAGACUGACGCUCAUGCGCGAAAGUGUGGGUAUCGAACAGGAUUAGAUACCCGUGUAGUC
rnacentral:rRNA from 1 species